rnacentral:rRNA from 1 species
UCCGGAGGAUCCAAGCGUUAUCCGGAAUCAUUGGGUUUAAAGGGUCCGUAGGCGGUUUAAUAAGUCAGUGGUGAAAUCUGGUCGCUCAACGAUCAAACGGCCAUUGAUACUGUUAAACUUGAAUUACUGGGAAGUAACUAGAAUAUGUAGUGUAGCGGUGAAAUGCUUAGAUAUUACAUGGAAUACCAAUUGCGAAGGCAGGUUACUACCAGUGGAUUGACGCUGAUGGACGAAAGCGUGGGGAGCGAACAGG